CUCAGCCUCCCGAGUAGCUGGGAUUACAGGGGUGUGCUACCAUGCCCAGCUAAUUUUUGUAUUUUUAGUAGAGAAGGGGUUUCACCAUGUUGGCCAGGCUUGUCUCGAUCUCCUGACCUCAGCUGAUCCACCCAUCUUGGCAUCUCAAAGUGCUGGGAUUAUAGGUGUGAGCUGCCACGCCCGCCCCAUGUAUACGUUUUUUUAAAAAGGGAUGAAGAAAAAUAUACCAUGAAAACAUCAAUGAAAAAAAGCAGGAGUCAUCAUAUUAAUGUUGGACAAAUCACUACCGAUCAAUUUUAGACAAAAUAUAAUCAACUAAGUCUAAUUGACAUUUAUAGAACACUUUAUUCAACAAUAGUAGAAUACAAAUUUAUCUCAAGUACACAAGCAGCAUUCAUCCCAAUAGAUCAUGUUCUGGGCUAAAAACAAACCUCAAAAAAUGUAAAGGAAUAGAAAUAAUACAAUGGGCAUUCUUGCAUCAUAUCCAAAUAGCACUAGAAAUUGAUAAGAGUUAGUCAGAAACGCCCAAUGGUUAGGAAUUUAAACACUAUACUUUUAAAUAGCCCAUGGGUCAAAAAAGAGAUGUCUUAAGGAAAAUUUCAAAGUCUUUUGAAAUGAAAUAGAAUAAAUCAGAAUUUGUGGGAUGCAGAAUAAGUAGUCCUUAGAGGGAGAUGUAUAGCAUUGAAUACUCAUACUCGACAAAGAUGAAAAAUCACAAAGUUGCUUAAAUUUCUACCUUAGGAAACUCAUGAGAGAAAAGAAAACCUAUUUUGGAGGACAAGGGGAAAGAAUUGCUUGAGGCCAGGAGUUCCAGGUAGCCUGGGCAACAAAGCGAAACCCCCAAAAAUUAAAAAAAAAAAAAUUAGCUGGGUGUGGUGGCAUGUGCCCGUAGUCCCAGCUACUAGGGAGGCUGAGGCAGGAGGAUCACUUGAUCCUGGGAGUCUGAGGCUGCAGUGAUCUAUGAUUGUGCCACUGCACUCCAGCCUGUGGGGGGCAAAGCAAGACCCUGC
rnacentral:lncRNA from 1 species